rnacentral:rRNA from 1 species
CGAAGAACCUUACCAGGUCUUGACAUCCCUGACAACCCGAGAGAUCGGGCGUUCCCCUUCGGGGGACAGGGUGACAGGUGGUGCAUGGUUGUCGUCAGCUCGUGUCGUGAGAUGUUGGGUUAAGUCCCGCAACGAGCGCAACCCUCGACCUUAGUUGCCAGCAUUCAGUUUGGGCACUCUAAGGUGACUGCCGGCUAAAAGUCGGAGGAAGGUGGGGAUGACGUCAAAUCAUCAUGCCCCUUAUGACCUGGGCUACACACGUGCUACAAUGGGCGGUACAAAGGGUCGCGAACCCGCGAGGGGGAGCCAAUCCCAAAAAGCCGCUCUCAGUUCGGAUUGCAGGCUGCAACUCGCCUGCAUGAAGCCGGAAUCGCUAGUAAUCGCGGAUCAGCAUGCCCGCGGUUCCGAAUACGUUCCGGGCCUU